UAGGUUCAAAAACCUUUUUUCCCUUGGAUGGGGGUUGUAUCUUUCACGUCAUAGAAGGACUCAUCUUCCUUUGUAUAAAUCUAUUGUUGAAUUGUGCAAUGCUUACUUAAGAUCUAUAUAGCUGGAUGAAUGAAGCAGUUUAGAAUAAUUAGAGAACUACGUGAGGUGCGAUCCAAUGGUCAGUAUCAUGAAAUAAGUUCAAUCAUUCUAAAAAAUACAACCUAUAUCAAUUCCUUUAGCCA
rnacentral:lncRNA from 1 species